GCCCAAGCCAGCCAGGAAGGAGGAGGCAGCCAGAGAGGCCUCCACUGUUCUCUGCAGCAGAAGACCCCCCUGCUGCCAGAAACAACAAAGAGCUCUGACUCCUUCUUCUCCUACCAGAUGCUGGCAACCAAGAAAAAGUACCUUGGCCUUUGAGCCCUGAACAAUUUGUAGGAUCGUCAAGCUCUCAGUGUGGAUCGACACCAAGACAGCAUAUAGAUUGCAGCAACAGGUUCCCAGAAAUCUAUGAGAGCCUACUGGGCAUGCUCCAAUAUUAAGUAAAGGAGAGGAAGAGAGGAAUUCACUAAACCCUUUAUUAACCACUUGGGGUGGUCCACUUAACAUCAAAAGAUUGCGAACCCUUUGGGGACAGGGAGCCAUCUUAUUUACAGUAGGUGACUGAAGAAGCUACGGGACUCGAGAAGCUGCAGGGCUUGAGAACAUUCCAGUUUUUCUAACUAACUGAAAUGUAAUAUUAACAAAUGCAAUGCCAAGCCUGUAAACACUUGCCCAAUUUCAGCCAGACAAGAAUAUUCAUGACAGGGUAAUAAACACCUUAACAUGAGGUUUCAGAUGAAAAUAUAGACAAAGCCCAAAUAUACUCAUGCAAAAAUCUUUUUUACAGAGGAAAUGUCACCAAGCAAGCCAGGAGAGGAAAAAGGAAAUGCAGAGCAAAAAGAGGUGUUUAUAUUGCCCAUGGACCCACUGCUUUAAUUGGGCCCCUGUGGAGGCUCUGGGUCCAUUUAUUCAAACUAUGGCCAAUUUCUCCAGUAUCCCCUGAACUCGAAAGCCAAUUCAAACAUCAUUAUUCUCUACAGCGUGUCCUGUUUUUCCUAGAACAACAGUUUUAUGUUAGCUCUAAAUUCUGAGGAUGGAUAAACCUUCAGUUUGGAAAGAAUAGCAUAGUAAUCAUAACAGAAGAAGAAAGGAUGUCUAUGCCUAAGCAAAGUUACAAACUCAAAGCUCACAAAGCAGGCUAUACAUGGCCAACAAGGAACAGUGUGCAAGUGUAGACAAAAACAAACCUCUGGCACAGUCUCAGUCUAAGGGCCAGACGUGGGAUGGGGUGGCAGGGCGGGGGGCAUAGCUCGGUGGUAGAGAACACACUUUACAUUCAGAAGGUUUCAGGUUUGAUCCCUGGCAUCAGCAGGCAGGCAGGCAGGGCAGGGAAAAACCCCUUUCUGAAAUGUUGAAGAGCCACUGCCAGUUAUCUAGAGCAGGGAUUCUCAACGUUGGGUCCCCAGAUGUUAUUGGACUUCAAUUCCCAUAAUCCCCAGGCCCAGUGGCCUUUGGCUGGGGAUUAUGGGAGUUGAAGUCCAAUAAUAUCUGAGGACCCAACAUUGAGAAUCCUUGAUCUAGACGGACCAAUGGUCUGAUUCAGUCUAUGGCAGGUUCCUAUUAGAAAGGCUGCUUUCACAUUUUAAGAGGGAAGGUGUUUCCCUCAUAAAGAUGCACAAUGAAGUGCCACGGCUCAUCAGAAAUUAUUUGCAGCAUGUACUUCUAUCAAGCAUCUGCUUCCAUCUAUAUUCAAUUCUUGCUGGCCUUUGGCUGUAAUAAAGCAAUUCUGAUUCUGA